UGGGAGGUUUUUUUGCCCCUUUUUGCC
rnacentral:piRNA from 1 species